GUAAUACGGAGGGUGCAAGCGUUAAUCGGAAUUACUGGGCGUAAAGCGCACGCAGGCGGUCUGUCAAGUCGGAUGUGAAAUCCCCGGGCUCAACCUGGGAACUGCAUUCGAAACUGGCAGGCUUGAGUCUUGUAGAGGGGGGUAGAAUUCCAGGUGUAGCGGUGAAAUGCGUAGAGAUCUGGAGGAAUACCGGUGGCGAAGGCGGCCCCCUGGACAAAGACUGACGCUCAGGUGCGAAAGCGUGGGGAGCAAACAGGAUUAGAUACCCUGGUAGUCCACGCCGUAAACGAUGUCUACUUGGAGGUUGUGCCCUUGAGGCGUGGCUUCCGGAGCUAACGCGUUAAGUAGACCGCCUGGGGAGUACGGCCGCAAGGUUAAAACUCAAAUGAAUUGACGGGGGCCCGCACAAGCGGUGGAGCAUGUGGUUUAAUUCGAUGCAACGCGAAGAACCUUAC
rnacentral:rRNA from 1 species